rnacentral:lncRNA from 1 species
UACUUUUUUUUUUUUUUUUUUUUUUUUUUUAAGAGUGGGAGAGGGGCAGGGGGAGAAGAAGAGAGAAUCUUAAGCAGGCUCCAUGCCCGGAGCGAAGCUGGAUGUGGUGCUCUAUCUCACCAGCCUGAGAUCAUGACCUGAGUCGAAAUCAAGAGUCAGAUGCUUAACCAACUGAGCUACCCAGGCGCCCCUUACCAUUACCUUUGAUUGUCUAUUAGAGAGUACUUCACGAUUCAUUUCUCAUUUAUGCACAGACUUACAAGAAAAACAUUAAUCAGAUGAAUUAUUUACCAGCACCUACCAAGAGCCCACAAUUAACCACAAAUAAGUAAACUCUGAGGAGCAGGGAUCUGGCCUUUAAUUGUUUCUUAAGCAUUAAAAAGCUUGACCUUGGGAUGCCUGGGUGGCCCAGCAGUUUAGCGCCUGCCUUCAGCUUGGGGCAUGAUCCUGGAGUCCCGGGAUCGAGUCCCACAUCAGGCUUCCUGCGUGGAGCCUGCUUCUGCUUCUCCUUCUGCGUAGGUCUCUGACUCUCCCUCUCUCUCUCUGUGUCUCAUGAAUAAAUAAAUAAUCUUUUUUUUAUAAAUAAAAAAUCUUAAAAAAAAAUAAAAAUAAAAAAUAAAAAGCUUGACCUAGGGACGUCUGGGUGGCUCAGUCGGUGAAGCAUCUGACUCUUGGUUUCAGUUCAGGCUGUGAUCUCGGGGUCUUGAGAUCGAGCCCCACGUCAGACUCUGUGCUCAGCGUGGAAUCUGCUUUUAAAGACACUCUCUCCUGCCUCUUCCUCCCCAUGCAUGCUCUCUCUCUCUGUCUCUCAAAUAAAUAAAUAAAUCUUUUUUAAAAAAAAUUUAAAAGUUUGAUCUGGUAAGUGAGAAGGAAAGGACAAGAACUUGAACCUGCUACUGUCAAACAAAGCUGUCCUAGCAAAAAACCCCAGACUGCCCUCCUGCCUGGCUCCAGAGGAUUCAGGCUUGAAACACUGCAUGGGAAAUUUUCAGUCAAAGUCCUCACCAGUCUCUCCUUUGACUAACAAUCACCAUCCCAGGAAGUGGGAACUAUAGCAACUUUCAUAGUGUAGGUUGGAUAGGGAAGUGGGGAGACCACCUAUACCCUUGAAGCAUAAAUUCUCAUCAAAAAGAUUACAAAGUACAUGGCCUUGGAAGAGAAGAAACACAAACAUGUAUAAAAAUACCUCCUGGAGUUCAAUUAGGAGGAUGAAAUAAAUAAAAUACACAAUUAAAUAGGAGACCAGGCUAAGAUGAUGCCUUGGGAUGCUGAUUGGAGUAGGUAGGCUUCUCCUGCAAAUGAUCUGUCAAGACUGAGAAGGUACAGGCUAUUCUAGGUGAGGAGAACAGUGAGUAACACUGGGAAAUCUCAGGGCGAGGCAGAAGUAGGGAGUGACGGGUAAGGUUAGAGAAGCAAGAAGAACACAGUUUACUAAGUGCUUUCAAAGCUAGAGACUAGUGCCAUGGAAAGAGAUAUGACACGUAUUAA